rnacentral:rRNA from 1 species
UACAAUGGCGUAAACAAAGGGAGGCGAAGCCGCGAGGUGGAGCAAAUCCCAAAAAUAACGUCUCAGUUCGGAUUGUAGUCUGCAACUCGACUACAUGAAGCUGGAAUCGCUAGUAAUCGCGAAUCAGAAUGUCGCGGUGAAUACGUUCCCGGGUCUUGUACACACCGCCCGUCACACCAUGGGAGUCAGCAACGCCCGAAGCCGGUGACCCAACCGAAAGGAGGGAGCCGUCGAAGGUGGGGCCGAUAACUGGGGUGAAGUCGUAACAAGGUAAC